UGAGGAAUAUUGGUCAAUGGACGAGAGUCUGAACCAGCCAAGUAGCGUGAAGGAUGACUGCCCUAUGGGUUGUAAACUUCUUUUAUAUGGGAAUAAAAUGUUCCACGUGUGGGAUUUUGUAUGUACCAUAUGAAUAAGGAUCGGCUAACUCCGUGCCAGCAGCCGCGAUAAUCAUACUCU
rnacentral:rRNA from 1 species